rnacentral:rRNA from 1 species
GACGAACGCUGGCGGCGUGCUUAACACAUGCAAGUCGAACGCUGAAGACCUGGCUUUUGUUGGGUUGGAUGAGUGGCGAACGGGUGCGUAACACGUGAGUAACCUGCCCUCUUCUUUGGGAUAACGCCCGGAAACGGGUGCUAAUACUGGAUAUUCACUGAUCUUCGCAUGGGGGUUGGUGGAAAGGUUUGUUCUGGUGGGGGAUGGGCUCGCGGCCUAUCAGCUUGUUGGUGGGGUGAUGGCCUACCAAGGCUUUGACGGGUAGCCGGCCUGAGAGGGUGACCGGUCACAUUGGGACUGAGAUACGGCCCAGACUCCUACGGGAGGCAGCAGUGGGGAAUAUUGCACAAUGGGCGAAAGCCUGAUGCAGCGACGCCGCGUGAGGGAUGGAGGCCUUCGGGUUGUAAACCUCUUUCGCUCAUGGUCAAGCCGCAACUGUGGGUUGUGGUGAGGGUAGUGGGUAAAGAAGCGCCGGCUAACUACGUG